GGCACAUUCUUCUCUCAAUAGGUAUUAGGUUAUGAAAAAAUAGAUGAAGUUGAUUUUCUCAAAGAUAAUCUUUCCAGUUUCAUUCUUUUCGAGAUUAAAGUUAAUUGUUGGUGAUCCAAAUUAAAAACAUCUUCUCUAGCAGCAGCUCCUUCUCUAUACAUACUAAUUAGCAUUUUUAAUUUCUCAUGGCUCUAAACAGUUUCUUCAAGUAUUAUUUUAAAAAAUGAGUGAGGCCAGGUUGUAUAUUUCUCUGAUUCCACUCUGUAUAGUCAUAAACUGACUGGCGGUUGAAAAAUCUAAUUUCGAGUCUUAUAAUUUUUUCUGGUCAUAAUCUAGUGACUUGGAAAUUCUAGUUUUCUUCUUAAACUCAUCAAAUGCUUCAUAAGCUUUACUAUGCCCUUGUCUUUUGUUUGGUAAUGUAUCGAACAUUUCUUGCAAUAGAGGUAAAUUUUAUAUAUAUUUAGCCUUGCAAAUGAUUUUGGUUCAAUGGAAAACCUACGCUACUCCCUUUACACCAUCCAUGUGAUGCAUCUGAAUGUGCUAAUGUGGUUUGAUUCAUUAUUUUUGAGUUUUUUGGAUUAGUUAUAGUUCCCAUAUCGAUAUUUGCAUUUAUGCUCAUAUGAAAGGCCAGUCUUUCCUGGGGAGGUGUCAUGUUUUCGUUUUUGCUGUC
rnacentral:misc_RNA from 1 species